AUAUAUGACCACACCUCCCUGAAUGUGCCUGAUCUUGUCUGAUCUUGGAAGUUAAGCAGGCUCAGGCCUGGUUAGUACUUGGGUGGGAGAUUUAUACCUCAGUCUCAUCUAGU
rnacentral:rRNA from 1 species